rnacentral:rRNA from 1 species
CUACGGGCCGCUGCAGGCGCGAAACCUUUACAAUGCACGCAAGUGUGAUAAGGGGAUCCUAAGUGCUCAUACAUUGUAUGGGCUUUUGUUAAGAAUAAAUAUCUUAGCGAAUAAGUGGUGGGUAAGACUGGUGCCAGCCGCCGCGGUAACACCAGCGCCACAAGUGGCAACCACGUUUAUUGGGCCUAAAGCGUCCGUAGCCGGUUUGGAAAAUCUCUUGUGAAAUCGACAAGCUCAACUUGUCGGCGUGCUUGAGACACUACUAAACUAGAGACCGGGAGGAGUCAGAGGUAUUCCAGGGGGAGCGGUAAAAUGUGAUAAUCCUUGGAGGACCAUCUAUGGCGAAGGCAUCUGACCAGAACGGAUCUGACGGUGAGGGACGAAGGCUAGGGGAGCGAUCCGGAUUAGAUACCCUGGUAGUC